CUUCUCUUCACUGAAUAUGAGGCAGAGGUUUGUUGCUGGGUCAGUGUCUCUGAUCCCUCCAUGGAUCCUUUGUGGCAAAACCCAGCUGGGCUUCUCAGGAGCCUCCCAGUCCCUGGAUGGACAGCAGGUCCUCCAGCUCGGCCUCCUGGUGUAGUGCCUCUGCUGACAGCUGGGGGGCUCCAGGGAAGCACAGCAGGAUGAUACUGAUGUUGUCCAAGCUGCCCUGUGGACCAGAGCGGCAUCAACAGAGCAUGUGACCCAGGAGGUGCUGGGAGCAAUAUUGUGCCACCGUGCUGCCUGCAUGACCAUCAAACACAGCGAAGAAGCUCCAGUCGGC